UCAGGCAUUGCAUUUGUUUAAAAACUAUGUAUGAGUAAGUCUUUAUUUCUGCUUGUUCUCUAAAGCCUCCUGGAAAACUGGUGUGGAGUACCAGGGGUGUUAAAUCAUUAUAUCUGUUUCUAAGCAAUUUACACUAAUUUCUGCAAGGUUUUCUCAGUUCCUGUUUGUUUGCUUGUCUUUAAUUUCAGUCCAGUUUGAGAUCUGGAAUUUAAUUUCUGUAUCUCUGUUUCCUUCAGCAAAUAAUGUACUGAAACCAUGCUGGGAAAUGUGCUGCAGUUUGAUCAAAGCAAUUUUCUCUGCAUCUAAGCCCAGAUGAACUAGAGUUUUGAAAAAUACUUCUGAAAGAGGUGGAAAAACUGUGGGAGGAACAUGGCUGUAAAUUGCUCUAGAGUGAAGAGUGAGUGGAAGUAGGAGCAGAAUUAACAUUCAGUUGCCACAGCUGCCCUUCAAUAAAGUAUCUCACAGUCCUUCAGA